GUUUCAAUUCCUCAUAGGCAGGCUAUCGGCCCUUUGAGGCGCUCGUACAGGGCGAGCGCGAACAGUG
rnacentral:sRNA from 1 species